AGUCAUACGCUCGUCUCAAAGAUUAAGCCAUGCAUGUGUAAGUAUAAAUAGUUAACUUUGAAACUGCGAAUGGCUCAUUAUAUCAGUUAUAGUUUAUUUGAUGAAGAAUACUAAUUGGAUAACCGUAGUAAUUCUAGAGCUAAUACAUGUAUAAAGUCUUGUAGACUGCAUUUAUUAGAAUGAAAACCAUAGGUUUCGGCCUAUUCGUGAGUAAUAAUAACUAAUCAUAUCGUAUGCUUAUGUAACGAUGUGUCUUUCAAGUUUCUGCCCUAUCAGCUUUCGAUGGUAGUGUAUUGGACUACCAUGGCAGUAACGGGUAACGAAGAAUUUGGGUUCGAUUUCGGAGAGGGAGCCUGAGAGAUGGCUACCACAUCCAAGGAAGGCAGCAGGCGCGUAAAUUACCCAAUCCCGACACAGGGAGGUAGUGACAAUAAAUCACAAUGCGGAACAAUGUUUUGCAAUUGGAUUGAGAACAACGUACAAACCUUAUCGAUAAACAAUUGGAGGGCAAGUCUGGUGCCAGCAGCCGCGGUAAUUCCAGCUCCAAUAGCGUAUAUUAA
rnacentral:rRNA from 2 species